CGGGGUGUAGCGCAGUCUGGUUAGUGCACUUGGUUUGGGACCAAGGGGCCGAAGGUUCGAAUCCUUUCACCCCGACCA
rnacentral:tRNA from 1 species